rnacentral:lncRNA from 1 species
GUUAUUGUGGAAAAACACUUUUGGAAUAUCCUUGAAACAUUCAAUCUUGUCGACUCACAAUCUUUUCUAUAGCGUAUUUAGGUCACUAAUGGUAAUUUUGCCAAGAAAAACCCAAUGCAUUUAGUUUAUUUCAUUGUUCUUCUUAUUUUCAAAAUCUUUAUUAAAUUAUUCUUCCUUCUUUCCCCAUUACAGGUCUUGAAAUAUAUGGCCUAUAAAAUCAUUCUCAUUGGGAAAGAAUUACAGACAAGUCAUCAUCCUUUGAGGAUAAGUUCGAUUAAAAGGGCAUCUGGACUACUGCAAUGUUGUGGAUCCUACCGAGAGUGUGAAAUCACUUGACCCUUGGCAUUAACCUUUGCUGAAUGAAUAGACACUGCUUUCCACAUCGAGGAACAAAGCAGAAGACUAUUGAUUAAACACCACAUUCACUUGAUAUUAAAUACUGGCUGAACUCACUUCUUGCUUCCAGUUCCAAAGGGAGAAGCUCAGAGAGUUGCUGAGUCUCGAGAGAAUGGAUGUUUGUAAUUCAGAGCAAUGUUUUUCCUGCAAAGUACUUUUUUUUCUCCUUUGAUCAAUAACUAGCAGCCAUGAUCAGCCAUGAGUAUGUAUUGUCAAUUCUGACCUGUGUAUUUUAUCACUGAAGGUGAGAGGUCACAGUGCUGUGACUAAUAUUUCAGGUCUAAGCAUGAAUUGUUUCCUGACUUCAAUAUCUGUUUGAAAGAGCGAUUUGUUUUAUUUUAUUUCUUGCCUUAUGAAUCAUUGUUUAGGCAAUUGAUUUGUCUGCAUUAGUAAAAUACACAAUUUUUCUAAAAUUCUUGGGUUUUAUCACUGUUUUUGCAGAUGUUUAAUUUUCUAGACCUUAACAUUAGAAGAAAUAG